rnacentral:rRNA from 1 species
CAUGCCGUAAACGAUGAUUACUAGGUGUGGGGGGUCUGACCCCCUCCGUGCCGGAGUUAACACAAUAAGUAAUCCACCUGGGAAGUACGACCGCAAGGUUGAAACUCAAAGGAAUUGACGGGGGCCCGCACAAGCAGUGGAGUAUGUGGUUUAAUUCGAAGCAACGCGAAGAACCUUACCAGGUCUUGACAUCUACCUAAUCCCUCAGAGAUGAGGGAGUGCCUUUCGGGGAAAGGUAAGACAGGUGG